UAGCCUGUGGUCCGUGAUGUAUCCUUGUUGAAGCUGAGUAUAGCUGAUCUGAGUCAACAUUUCGUCACUACCACUGAGACAACAGGCAG
rnacentral:snoRNA from 1 species